rnacentral:rRNA from 1 species
GAGUUUGAUCAUGGCUCAGAACGAACGCUGGCGGCAGGCUUAACACAUGCAAGUCGAACGGGCGCUUUCGGGCGUCAGUGGCAGACGGGUGAGUAACGCGUGGGAACCUACCUGAUGGUACGGAAUAACUCGGGGAAACCCGAGCUAAUACCGCAUAAGCCCGAGCCUUAUGGUUUGGGGAAAGAUUCAUCGCCAUUGGAUGGGCCCGCGUCGGAUUAGCUUGUUGGUGUGGUAACGGCGCACCAAGGCGACGAUCCGUAGCUGGUCUGAGAGGAUGAUCAGCCACACUGGGACUGAGACACGGCCCAGACUCCUACGGGAGGCAGCAGUGGGGAAUAUUGGACAAUGGGCGCAAGCCUGAUCCAGCCAUGCCGCGUGAGUGAAGAAGGCCUUAGGGUUGUAAAUCUCCUUCGGCGGGGAAGAUAAUGACGGUACCCGCAGAAGAAGCCCCGGCUAACUCCGUGCCAGCAGCCGCGGUAAUACGGAGGGGGCUAGCGUUGUUCGGAAUUACUGGGCGUAAAGGGCACGUAGGCUGGCUGUUAAGUCGGGGGUGAAAUCCCGAGGCUCAACCUCGGAAUUGCCUUCGAUACUGACGGUCUUGAGUGCGGGAGAGGUGAGUGGCAAUUCCCAGUGUAGACGGUGACAUUCGUAGAUAUUGGGAAGAACACCAGUGGCGAAGGCGGCUCACUGG